AUUUAAAUAGUUUAUUAAAAAUUUUGAUUUGUGGAAUCAAAGAUAUAUAUCUAUUAUAUUUUAAAUA
rnacentral:tRNA from 1 species